AAGGUUGAAAAAAGGCAUUACUUUCAAACUCUUCCCUGUUGUCACAAUCCCAUGUAUUGAUAAACUGCAAAACUGAGAAACCCAAACAUGUUGUUCUAAACGAUGCUGGGAAGUGCAGAGUAAAAACAAAGCAGCAAACUUUUAAAUCACGGAAAUUGACAGGUUUUCGUAAGUGUUUUGCAUGAGGAGGUACUUUGCAUUGACAGCACAUGCUUCAGCACCCCGGUGGUGUUUAUAGUCCUCAGGGUUCGACACGUCGUGACUGACAGCUGUGCUUCGUGGCGACAGAACAAGAAACUACAAUGUCCUUUAUCGCCGUUUUUAUUGGGAUACUUGGAUUUUUCAUUGAUGAAUCCAGAGGUCAAGUCACAGUGACUCAGACUCCUGAGGUCAAAACUGUUCUUCCAGGACAGACGGUCACAAUCAACUGUAAAACCAACCAGGGUGUUUUUGAUAAGUGUGGUUCAUCUAAUUCCAACCCUUGUAUGAACUGGUACCUUCAGAAACCUGGAGAAGCUCCUAAACUCCUCAUUUACUAUGCUGCUACCCGUCAGUCAGGGAUUCCAGAUCGAUUCAGUGGCAGUGGAUCUGGGUCCGACUUCACUCUGACCAUCAGUGGAGUCCAGGCUGAAGAUGCAGGACAUUAUUACUGUCAGAGUUUUCAUUACCCUAAUAAUGUCCGUGUGUUCACACAGUGUUAUAGAGCCGUACAAAAACCCCCCCAGAGACACACAGUACAGUUACCGCACUGCUGCAGCUGA